AUGUUUGGUGCUGAAAGUCAGGCUCAGUCUAUCAAUACCCGCACUGAGCUCACAAACCUGCAAAAAGGUAAUAUGACUAUGGCCGAGUACCUUGGAAAAAUUAAGAGUAUCACUCACGAGGUUGCUUGCACCGGCGCCGCGCUAUUUGAUCCGGAGAUCAAGUCAAAAAUUCCUGCUAGAUUGGAUCUGGAGUACAACCCCGUUGUGUCGGCGCUUGCUGCUCAAGUGGAACCAAUCACGGUUAAGGAGCUUUACAGCCAGCUCCUAAGUUUUGAUGACAGCCUCAGCCUCCUCCAUGGCACCAAUCUCUGUCAGUCCUCCGCGAACUCUGCCUCCCGUGGCCGCGGCCAUGGGCGUGGUCACCAGGGGUGA
rnacentral:rRNA from 1 species